rnacentral:rRNA from 1 species
AUUGAACGCUGGCGGCAGGCCUAACACAUGCAAGUCGAGCGGAUGAAGGGAGCUUGCUCCUGGAUUCAGCGGCGGACGGGUGAGUAAUGCCUAGGAAUCUGCCUGGUAGUGGGGGAUAACGUCCGGAAACGGGCGCUAAUACCGCAUACGUCCUGAGGGAGAAAGUGGGGGAUCUUCGGACAUCACGCUAUCAGAUGAGCCUAGGUCGGAUUAGCUAGUUGGUGGGGUUAAGGCCUACCAAGGCGACGAUUCGUAACUGGUCUGAGAGGAUGAUCAGUCACACUGGAACUGAGACACGGUCCAGACUCCUACGGGAGGCAGCAGUGGGGAAUAUUGGACAAUGGGCGAAAGCCUGAUCCAGCCAUGCCGCGUGUGUGAAGAAGGUCUUCGGAUUGUAAAGCACUUUAAGUUGGGAGGAAGGGCAGUAAGUUAAUACCUUGCUGUUUGGACGUUAAAAACAGAAUGAGCACCGGCUAACUUCGUG